rnacentral:rRNA from 1 species
CCUACGGGCGGCUGCAGUGAGGAAUAUUGGUCAAUGGACGAGAGUCUGAACCAGCCAAGUAGCGUGAAGGAUGACUGCCCUAUGGGUUGUAAACUUCUUUUAUAUGGGAAUAAAACGUUCCACGUGUGGGAUUUUGUAUGUACUAUAUGAAUAAGGAUCGGCUAACUCCGUGCCAGCAGCCGCGGUAAUACGGAGGAUCCGAGCGUUAUCCGGAUUUAUUGGGUUUAAAGGGAGCGUAGGUGGAUUGUUAAGUCAGUUGUGAAAGUUUGCGGCUCAACCGUAAAAUUGCAGUUGAAACUGGCAGUCUUGAGUACAGUAGAGGUGGGCGGAAGUCGUGGUGUAGCGGUGAAAUGCUUAGAUAUCACGAAGAACUCCGAUUGCGAAGGCAGUUCACUGGACUGCAACUGACACUGAGGCUCGAAAGUGUGGGUAUCAAACAGGAUUAGAUACCCCAGUAGUC